CACAUGACUCUCGGCAACGGAUAUCUCGGCUCUCGCAUCGAUGAAGAACGUAGCAAAAUGCGAUACCUGGUGUGAAUUGCAGAAUCCCGUGAACCAUCGAGUUUUUGAACGCAAGUUGCGCCCGAGGCCUUUUGGCCGAGGGCACGUCUGCCUGGGCGUCACAC
rnacentral:rRNA from 1 species